UGUGUACAUAUGUAUCUACACGUGUAUUUUUAAUGUAGCCCAUAUGUGUGUGUGUUAUUUAUAUAUUUAUUUUUUAAAAGAACCUCUUAGAGAUCUCAUUAUUUUAUGUAUUUUUGAAGAAAAAAAAAGUAUAUAUAUAUAUAUAUAUAUAUAUAUAUAUAUAUAUAUAGAUUAGACAUUUAUUAUUUAUACAUUUAUUUUAAAAGAUAUUCUUAGAUAUGUAUCAUAAUAUUUAAAAUAUUCUACUUGAUCUGUCGAUUCAGCAUACUGAUGUUUGUCUUGUUUUUUAAAUAACAAAGGUGAUUAAUGAACUCAUAUUCCUUAAAAAUCUCAUGUUGGAAUAUUCAAGGACUUAGGUCCUCCAUUUUUGGUGUUAAGAGCCAACAUUCAGAUUUCAAAAGAGAAAUUCUGAAUUCUGAUAUUAUAAUACUACAAGAAACAUGGAAUGUAAGAGAUUUGUCCACUGGCUGCCCAACUGGGUUUAGAGAAAUCAUUUUACCAUCAACCAAACUAAGAGGGGUGACCCAGGGCAGAGACUCCGGGGGAAUGCUGAUAUGGUACAGAACAGAACUCAGAGACUCAAUCAAAUCUAUAAAAAUCGGAAAAUCGUACAUUUGGCUAAAAAUACAAAAAGAUAUUGUGUCCACAGACCGUCACAUAUUCUUGUGUGCCACAUACUUACCCCCGGCUGAAUCUCCCUAUUACAAUGAAGAAACCUUUUCUAUCCUGCACGACGAGAUCUGCCAUUUCCAGACAAAAGGAAAUGUUUUAAUAUGUGGCGACUUAAAUGCCAGAACUGGAAAUGAAGCCGACUUUGUCAACACACAAGGAGACAAAUAUAUUACAAACACCUGCCACUCUCUGCCCUCAUAUCACCGCAGAAAAAAUUAUGACCGCUUCACAAACAAAAGUGGGAAAAGCCUACUACAGCUCUGUCAAUCACUGGGCCUGUACAUAGUGAACGGUCGCAUGCGAGGAGACUCUUUUGGUUGUUAUACCUUUA
rnacentral:lncRNA from 1 species